UACGGGGGGUGCAAGCGUUAAUCGGAAUCACUGGGCGUAAAGGGUGCGUAGGCGGUACGUUAGGUCUGUCGUGAAAUCCCCGGGCUCAACCUGGGAAUGGCGGUGGAAACCGGUGUACUAGAGUAUGGGAGAGGGUGGUGGAAUUCCCAGUGUAGAGGUGAAAUUCGUAGAUAUUGGGAAGAACACCGGUGGCGAAGGCGGCCACCUGGCCCAAUACUGACGCUGAGGCACGAAAGCGUGGGGAGCAAACAGG
rnacentral:rRNA from 1 species